UUCCCUCUUCCGAUGUAAUUGAUACAUGUCAUUACCACCGCCUUAAAUCCCUCUUUCCACUUCCUGAUCCAUGUCACCACUACCCUCUGUGAAGGCUUCUCUUUAGAACCGUAUGAGAACUGCCAUCACCACCGUCAGCUUGCAUCAUCGAUCUCCGCCAGCUGUAACCAUCAUCGUCACGUCGUCGCUGCCUUCAGGUGAUGUACCAAAUCUCUCAUUCAAUAUGUUCUCCUUCUCGAUUGUUCUAAUUUUAACGCAACAAAUAUUCCACCGCCUUAACAUAGCAUCACCUGACGUUGCGGCUAACAAGCAACCCUAACCUUCAUCGGGUAUCUUCAGCAAUUGGCGACGGCUUCGCAGUUUUGAGGUUUUGGGCGCCAGUUGGACGACGAUGGCGGUUCUAUCGAAUGACGUUGGUCUAAUAAUCUGUUAACGAUGAUGAUCCACACACGGAUUUGAGAUUAUCUGAAACCCGUUGAAGCCACCAUCUUCCUCUGUUGAUUCAUGUCUUUACACCGCCUCACUACCUUCUUCUACUCUACCACCACCUCUUCCGAUCAGAUGCGUUCUAAAUGUUCUUUCAUCCCGAUUAUGAACGAGGUGGAGAAGAAGUUCGGGGAAACAUUCUUCAAAACUGGACCUUUCGUAUUUUGUUUGUUUUGUUCCUCAAGGUUCGUUGUUUCGUCAACUGACUACUGUGCUUGAUUAAUUACUUUCUUUUUUGAAUACUGCUCUGUUUGUUCAAAGCCUAGAUCGAUUGAAUACCUCCUCCAAAAAGGAAAAGAUACCAUACCACGUGUUCGAUGAAAUGCUCAAGAGAAACAUCCUACAAUAUUUUCCAUAUGAAUAAUCCUACGAAUGUUUACAUGAAUCUUUGAGUGAUAUUUCUAUAAAAGUGUAUUUGUAAUGUUUUAUUUUUAAUUUUUAUCACAGCUUUUUAAAAACUUAAUCGUAUAGAAAGGUUUUAGUAGUUCCAACUGAUACACUCU